CUCCAGUUAGUGCCAUUAUACAAUAUAGAUAUACUGUAUACACAAUACACACUCGCAUAUCUUGCAAUACAGAGCAGCUGGCUGUCAGGGCCAUGUCCUGAGUCGUUGCAGGCACUGUAUGUUUGUAUCAGUGUGCUGGACACAGAGUAUUUCCCUGUAUGGAGGAGGCCUCCCCCUACUCCCCUCACCUCGGGCCUGGGCACUCGGGUACAGUCUCUCCGCUUUGUGCAGGAACCUCCGGGCUCGCUCCCUGUCACCGGCUUCCAGCGCCGCCCUGCCAAUCCUCACACAGCGCUGGGCCUCGUCCCUGUUACUUUCCAUGGUACCGGGGCUCCUCUCCUCCUCCAGCCCCGGUGUUCAGUACAGCUGGUGACAGGGAAAGGAAAACGGAGGAGGAGUGCGUCUGGCAGGGACUCCUCCUCUCACACACGACACGAUGCGGCCAUCUUGCUAUACCCGGUGAGCUCCAGGGGCAGGCGGAGAGCGCGCCC